AUUGCCCCAGUAACGGCGAGUGAAGCGGCAACAGCUCAAAUUUGAAAUCUGGCUCUCAGGGCCCGAGUUGUAAUUUGUAGAGGAUGCUUUUGGCGAGGUGCCUUCCGAGUUCCCUGGAACGGGACGCCACAGAGGGUGAGAGCCCCGUAUGGUCGGACACCGAGCCUCUGUAAAGCUCCUUCGACGAGUCGAGUAGUUUGGGAAUGCUGCUCAAAAUGGGAGGUAUAUGUCUUCUAAAGCUAAAUAUUGGCCAGAGACCGAUAGCGCACAAGUAGAGUGAUCGAAAGAUGAAAAGCACUUUGAAAAGAGGGUUAAAAAGUACGUGAAAUUGUUGAAAGGGAAGCGCCUAUGACCAGACUUGCGCCCGGUGAAUCACCCAGCGUUCUCGCUGGUGCACUUUGCCGGGCACAGGCCAGCAUCAGUUCAGCGCGGGGGAGAAAGGCUUCGGGAAUGUGGCUCCCUCGGGAGUGUUAUAGCCCGCUGCGUAAUGCCCUGCGCCGGACUGAGGUACGCGCAUUGCAAGGAUGCUGGCGUAAUGGUCAUCAGCGACCCGUCUUGAAACACGGACCAAGGAGUCGUCUUCGUAUGCGAGUGUUCGGGUGUCAAACCCCUACGCGUAAUGAAAGUGAACGUAGGUGAGAGCUUCGGCGCAUCACCGACCGAUCCUGAUGUUCUCGGAUGGAUUUGAGUAAGAGCAUACGGGGCCGGACCCGAAAGAAGGUGAACUAUGCCUGUAUAGGGUGAAGCCAGAGGAAACUCUGGUGGAGGCUCGCAGCGGUUCUGACGUGCGAAUCGAUCGUCAAAUAUGGGCAUGGGGGCGAAAGACUAAUCGAACCUUCUAGUAGCUGGUUUC
rnacentral:rRNA from 1 species